rnacentral:rRNA from 1 species
AGAGUUUGAUCCUGGCUCAGGAUGAACGCUAGCGGCAGGCUUAACACAUGCAAGUCGAGGGGCAGCGCGGGAUAGCAAUAUCCUGGCGGCGACCGGCGGAAGGGUGCGUAACGCGUGAGCGACAUGCCCGUUGCCCGGGGACAACCGGUGGAAACGCCGACUAAUCCCCGAUGGGAUACGAUGCUUCAUGGCAUUGUAUUGAAAGUUACGGCGGCGACGGAUUGGCUCGCGUCCGAUUAGCUGGUUGGCGGGGUAACGGCCCACCAAGGCUGCGAUCGGUAGGGGUUCUGAGAGGAAGGCCCCCCACAAUGGGACUGAGACACGGCCCAUACUCCUACGGGAGGCAGCAGUGAGGAAUAUUGGUCAAUGGGCGGAAGCCUGAACCAGCCAUGCCGCGUGCGGGAAGGAGGCCCUAUGGGCUGUGAACCGCUUUUGCCUGGGGGCAAUAAGGGCGUCGCGCACGUCCGAUGAGAGUACCAGGCGAAUAAGCAUCGGCUAACUCCGUGCCAGCAGCCGCGGUAAUACGGGGGAUGCGAGCGUUAUCCGGAUUCAUUGGGUUUAAAGGGUGCGUAGGCUGUGCGUCAAGUCGGGGGUGAAAUUCCGGUGCUCAACACCGGGGCUGCCCUUGAUACUGUCGCGCUGGAGUGCGGAUGCCGCCGGAGGAAUGAGUGGUGUAGCGGUGAAAUGCUUAGAUAUCACUCAGAACACCGAUUGCGAAGGCAUCUGGCGAAUCCGUAACUGACGCUGAGGCACGAAAGCGUGGGGAUAGAACAGGAUUAGAUACCCUGGUAUUCCACGCCGUAAACGAUGAUGGCUAACCGCCGGCGACACACUGUCGGUGGCCAAGCGAAAGCGAUAAGCCAUCCACCUGGGGAGUACGUCGGCAACGAUGAAACUCAAAGGAAUUGACGGGGGCCCGCACAAGCGGAGGAACAUGUG